CUUUACACAUGCAAGUCGAACGAUGAUCUCCCAGCUUGCUGGGGGUGAUUAGUGGCGAACGGGUGAGUAAUACGUGAGUAACCUGCCCUUGACUCUGGGAUAAGCCUGGGAAACCGGGUCUAAUACUGGAUACGACCUCCUGUCGCAUGGUGGGGGGUGGAAAGGGUUCUACUGGUUUUGGAUGGGCUCACGGCCUAUCAGCUUGUUGGUGGGGUAAUGGCUCACCAAGGCGACGACGGGUAGCCGGCCUGAGAGGGUGACCGGCCACACUGGGACUGAGACACGGCCCAGACUCCUACGGGAGGCAGCAGUGGGGAAUAUUGCACAAUGGGCGCAAGCCUGAUGCAGCGACGCCGCGUGAGGGAUGACGGCCUUCGGGUUGUAAACCUCUUUCAGUAGGGAAGAAGCGAAAGUGACGGUACCUGCAGAAGAAGCGCCGGCUAACUACGUGCCAGCAGCCGCGGUAAUACGUAGGGCGCAAGCGUUGUCCGGAAUUAUUGGGCGUAAAGAGCUCGUAGGCGGUCUGUCGCGUCUGCUGUGAAAGCCCGGGGCUCAACCCCGGGUCUGCAGUGGGUACGGGCAGACUAGAGUGCAGUAGGGGAGACUGGAAUUCCUGGUGUAGCGGUGAAAUGCGCAGAUAUCAGGAGGAACACCGAUGGCGAAGGCAGGUCUCUGGGCUGUUACUGACGCUGAGGAGCGAAAGCAUGGGGAGCGAACAGGAUUAGAUACCCUGGUAGUCCAUGCCGUAAACGUUGGGCACUAGGUGUGGGGGACAUUCCACGUUCUCCGCGCCGUAGCUAACGCAUUAAGUGCCCCGCCUGGGGAGUACGGCCGCAAGGCUAAAACUCAAAGGAAUUGACGGGGGCCCGCACAAGCGGCGGAGCAUGCGGAUUAAUUCGAUGCAACGCGAAGAACCUUACCAAGGCUUGACAUUCACCGGACCGCCCCAGAGAUGGGGUUUCCCUUCGGGGCCGGUGGACAGGUGG
rnacentral:rRNA from 1 species